ensembl:snRNA U1 U1 spliceosomal RNA
AACUUUACCUGGCAGGGGUGAUACCAUCAUCACAAAGGUGAUUUGCUCAGGGCAAGACUUAUCCAUUGCACUCCAGAUAUACUGACUCCUGUGAUUUCCCCAAGUGAGGGAAACUUGACUGCACAAUUUGUGGUAGUGGGGGACUGUGCUCAUGCUCACCCUUG